UUCAAGCAGGACAUGCAACCAGCCAUGUGACCACACGGAAUGCAGGCACCUUCCACAGGAGCAUCCAAACAAAUAACACAGGUUCCCGGUGGAGUGUUACCGCUGUUGCUUGCAUUAGCAUCACUUUCUGCAGGUUUUGCAUCACCUUCGUUCUCUGCAGGUUUUGCAGAGCUUACCGCUGUACCACCGUCAGCAGAAGGCAUGGUUACGUCGACUGGCGUGGAAUCUAUUGACGGAUACUGAAUAGGACCAUCGUAGAAGGUUCCCACGGCAAGUGGAGGCGCAGUUGGGACUGGAAGAGAUGGAAGCGCCUCCUGCGGAACCACGAAAGUGCUGUUCUGGCUUUUGUUGUGUUUGGACGAACUUUGGCCAGAGCUUGUUCCAGGCACGUCCCACCCAUUGUAUGUGCUACUGCUUGAUGUAACAACUGGUACUUGGCCACUUGUCUUUGAAGGCGCAGAAGUAUCUGGUGGGCCCCAUCC
rnacentral:lncRNA from 1 species